rnacentral:rRNA from 1 species
UACGGAGGAUCCAAGCGUUAUCCGGAAUCAUUGGGUUUAAAGGGUCCGUAGGCGGUUUAAUAAGUCAGUGGUGAAAGCCCAUCGCUCAACGGUGGAACGGCCAUUGAUACUGUUAGACUUGAAUUAUUAGGAAGUAACUAGAAUAUGUAGUGUAGCGGUGAAAUGCUUAGAGAUUACAUGGAAUACCAAUUGCGAAGGCAGGUUACUACUAAUGGAUUGACGCUGAUGGACGAAAGCGUGGGUAGCGAACAGG